rnacentral:rRNA from 1 species
UACGAAGGGGGCUAGCGUUGCUCGGAAUUACUGGGCGUAAAGGGGAGCGAGUAGGCGGAUAGUUUAGUCAGAGGUGAAAGCCCAGGGCUCAACCCUGGAAUUGCCUUUGAUACUGGCUAUCUUGAGUGUGGGAGAGGUUAGCGGAACUCCGAGUGUAGAGGUGAAAUUCGUAGAUAUUCGCAAGAACACCAGUGGCGAAGGCGGCUCACUGGCC